UACGAAGGGGGCUAGCGUUACUCGGAUUGACUGGGCGUAAAGGGCGCGUAGGCGGUUUGUACAGUCAGACGUGAAAUUCCUGGGCUCAACCUGGGGGCUGCGUUUGAUACGUGCGGACUUGAGUUCGGAAGAGGGUCGUGGAAUUCCCAGUGUAGAGGUGAAAUUCGUAGAUAUUGGGAAGAACACCGGUGGCGAAGGCGGCGACCUGGUCCUUUUACUGACGCUGAGGCGCGAAAGCGUGGGGAGCAAACAGG
rnacentral:rRNA from 1 species